CCCAUGGGGCAUUUUGAAAAUGCUUGACACUGGAGCUGGAGGAGUACUUGAUGAGGACUCAGGGGUGUACUUGGACCUCUGAGAGUAAUGGGAGGUGGAAGCUCUCAGUAGGCAGGGACCUGACCACCUGGUUUACCCUCAGGUGUGAAAGAGUGUUACUCUGGACAGACUCUAGCCCUGACUCCCUUCACUGACUCAGCAUCAAAGGGGUUUUCAGUCCCACUGUCACCCUGACUGGAGCCCACCCCCAGGUCCCCAAUAGUGCAAGCAGAGACUCAAUGCCUCUGUCUACCCCCACGAAACCUGAGGAAGAAGGUGCUGACCCCUUCCAGCCUCCAUGAUGGCAGAGCAGAGUGAAUCUCGGUGUCCUCACACCCAGCCAGAGAGCAGAGAUAUCAACGAGGGUAGAUCACCGUCAGCAGUGUCCUGUGGAAAAUUCGCAGAUUGCCAGAACACAGAGGGGAGCUACUACUGCACACGCAUUCCAGGAUAUGAGCUUGCUUGUGGGGCAAGAAUGUUCAGGAAUGAGAGUGAGAACAUGUGUGAAGCCUGUGGGAAAAUCAGAUGGCUACGAUCUGAUAGAUUGUUCUUCUGGGGGCAGGAAGGCUGAUAUGGACCACCCCCACCACCACUUGGAGAUUCAGGUGAAUGGAAGAGGAUCCCAUCUGAACAAAAUGGCAAGAGAGGGCAUAAUUUGGGACCAUUGCCCCAAGCUUGACUCUCUUCCAAGGGGGUCAACCCAGGUCCCAUGUCAACUCAGACCACUUGGGGACAGAUUAUGGAGGCUAAGCCCGUUUGGCAGGGCCCAGAGCCUGUGUCCUUUGUUGGGAUACGGGGCCAAGAAGACAGAAACCCCUGCCUCCCCUCACCAUUAUCACCUGUCCCCCAUUCCAGCCACUUGGCCCUUGCCAACCUAUACCUUGCUCAGAUGUGGAUUCUUGCCACUUCCUGCCAGUCCAAGCAUGCCUUCAUGGGAAUCAGAAAAAGUUACGUUCAUCACCCCAAGGCCUCUUGGCUGAACAUCAGCCCCCACUGUCCUCCUCAGCUUGGUGCCCACUGUCUGGGUAGACCAGGACUGGUUAGAACAAUUUUUAUUCUCUCUUCUUCUAUAGAUGGCUUUCUCCUUUAGGAGCCUGGCUCAGGUUUGGGUCCUGGUGCAUCUCCAUGGAGCUGGAGUCUCAGAUAUAGUGUGGAUGAGAGAACACUGUCCUGCAAGGGUCACCGGGAUUCCAAGGGCAAUGCAGGCAGCAAGCAGUUGCCCUGGAAAUUAGGAUAAAAUCCAUCACUGGGAACCAAGAUGUUCCUGCUUGGGGAUCACAGUAUUCCCUUGCACUUGGAUCCCAGGAAGGCCCAUCCAAAUCCUCAGGCUAUAACACAAGUGGCCAUGAUGUCCCUGUCCUACCAGCCAGCAUCCCAGAGAGUCUGAGGGAACAAGAGCUGGCAGAUGGAGAGGACUUGGACCACUUCUGGCAACAUCUGGACAACAGAAUAUCGGGUUUGUGCCAUGCCAGGCUAUGAUAUGGCUUGGUGUUCUAUGCCAGGAGCCAAAGUGGUCCUUCCUAUGGGGAGACACAAGCAUAACCUCUGCGCCAAGUGAUGAGUUCAUGGAGAACUUGCCAUAGAUUUGAAUUUAGGUCUUUCCAUAAGACUAAGGAACAUGGCCCCAGGGAUUCCCAUGUGAAAUGUUAUAUUUUAACCCCAUUUUUUAAUGGGGUAAAAAUUGAUCUUUCAAACUAAAGUAAUUUAGUGUUAGAAGUGCUUUAUAUAACAGAAAUCAGUGGCUUUCUUAUACACUAACAAUGAAAAUACAG